rnacentral:rRNA from 1 species
AGUGAACGCUGGCGGUAGGCCUAACACAUGCAAGUCGAACGGCAGCACAGUAAGAGCCUGCUCUUACGGGUGGCGAGUGGCGGACGGGUGUGGAAUACAUCGGAAUCUACUUUUUCGUGGGGGAUAACGUAGGGAAACUUACGCUAAUACCGCAUACGACCUACGGGUGAAAGCAGGGGAUCUUCGGACCUUGCGCGAUUGAAUGAGCCGAUGUCGGAUUAGCUAGUUGGCGGGGUAAAGGCCCACCAAGGCGACGAUCCGUAGCUGGUCUGAGAGGAUGAUCAGCCACACUGGAACUGAGACACGGUCCAGACUCCUACGGGAGGCAGCAGUGGGGAAUAUUGGACAAUGGGCGCAAGCCUGAUCCAGCCAUACCGCGUGGGUGAAGAAGGCCUUCGGGUUGUAAAGCCCUUUUGUUGGGAAAGAAAAGCAGCAGGUUAAUACCCCGCUGUUCUGACGGUACCCAAAGAAUAAGCACCGGCUAACUUCGUG